CACGUAGGCGGCGGCAUAAGUCAGAAGUGAAAGUUGGCAGCUUAACUGCAAAAUCGCUUUUGAUACUGUGUUGCUUGAAUCACGUUGAGGCUGGCGGAAUGUGGCAUGUAGCGGUGAAAUGCUUAGAUAUGCCAUAGAGCACCAAUUGCGAAGGCAGCUGGCUAGACGUGUAUUGACGCUGAGGCACGAAAGCGUGGGGAGCGAACAGGAUUAGAUACCCUGGUAGUCC
rnacentral:rRNA from 1 species